UACGAAGGGGGGCUAGCGUUGCUCGGAAUCACUGGGCGUAAAGCGCACGUAGGCGGAUCUUUAAGUCAGGGGUGAAAUCCUGGAGCUCAACUCCAGAACUGCCUUUGAUACUGAGGAUCUUGAGUCCGGGAGAGGUGAGUGGAACUCCGAGUGUAGAGGUGAAAUUCGUAGAUAUUCGGAAGAACACCAGUGGCGAAGGCGGCUCACUGGUCCGGUACUGACGCUGAGGUGCGAAAGCGUGGGGAGCAAACAGG
rnacentral:rRNA from 1 species